CCGAGUGAGGGCCCUCUGGGUCCAACCUCCCACCCGUGUUUAUCGUACCUUGUUGCUUCGGCGGGCCCGCCUCACGGCCGCCGGGGGGCACCCGCCCCCGGGCCCGCGCCCGCCGAAGACACCAUCGAACGCUGUCUGAAGUUUGCAGUCUGAGCAGAUUUAGCAAAAUCGUUA
rnacentral:misc_RNA from 1 species